GAUGAACGCUGGCGGCGUGCCUAAUACAUGCAAGUAGAACGCUGAAGCUUGGUGCUUGCACCGAGCGGAUGAGUUGCGAACGGGUGAGUAACGCGUAGGUAACCUGCCUCUUAGCGGGGGAUAACUAUUGGAAACGAUAGCUAAUACCGCAUAAAAGUCGAUAUCGCAUGAUGUUGAUUUGAAAGGUGCAAUUGCAUCACUAAGAGAUGGACCUGCGUUGUAUUAGCUAGUUGGUGAGGUAACGGCUCACCAAGGCGACGAUACAUAGCCGACCUGAGAGGGUGAUCGGCCACACUGGGACUGAGACACGGCCCAGACUCCUACGGGAGGCAGCAGUAGGGAAUCUUCGGCAAUGGGGGCAACCCUGACCGAGCAACGCCGCGUGAGUGAAGAAGGUUUUCGGAUCGUAAAGCUCUGUUGUAAGAGAAGAACGAGUGUGAGAGUGGAAAGUUCACACUGUGACGGUAACUACCAGAA
rnacentral:rRNA from 1 species